rnacentral:rRNA from 1 species
UACGAAGGGGGCUAGCGUUGCUCGGAAUGACUGGGCGUAAAGGGCGCGUAGGCGGCUUGCACCGUCAGAUGUGAAAUUCCUGGGCUUAACCUGGGGGGCUGCAUUUUGAUACGUGUGGGCUUGAGUGCGGAAGAGGGUCGUGGAAUUCCCAGUGUAGAGGUGAAAUUUCGUAGAUAUUGGGAAGAACACCGGUGGCGAAGGCGGCGACCUGGUCCGUGACUGACGCUGAGGCGCGAAAAGCGUGGGGGAGCAAAACAGG